rnacentral:rRNA from 1 species
CGUGUAGGCGGCAUAUUAAGUUGGAUGUGAAAGCUCCUGGCUCAACUGGGAGAGGACGUUCAAUACUGGUAGGCUAGAGGGCGACAGAGGGAGGUGGAAUUCCCGGUGUAGUGGUGAAAUGCGUAGAUAUCGGGAGGAACACCAGUGGCGAAGGCGGCCUCCUGGGUCGCACCUGACGCUCAGACGCGAAAGCUAGGGGAGCGAACG